GUUUCCGCUCUUCAUCGAUGGCUG
rnacentral:miRNA from 1 species